rnacentral:rRNA from 1 species
AACGAACGCUGGCGGCAGGCCUAACACAUGCAAGUCGAGCGAAGCCUUCGGGCUUAGCGGCGGACGGGUGAGUAACGCGUGGGAACGUGCCCUUUGCUACGGAAUAGCCCCGGGAAACUGGGAGUAAUACCGUAUGUGCCCUUCGGGGGACAGAUUUAUCGGCAAAGGAUCGGCCCGCGUUGGAUUAGGUAGUUGGUGGGGUAAUGGCCUACCGAGCCGACGAUCCAUAGCUGGUUUGAGAGGAUGAUCAGCCACACUGGGACUGAGACACGGCCCAGACUCCUACGGGAGGCAGCAGUGGGGAAUCUUAGACAAUGGGCGGAAGCCUGAUCUAGCCAUGCCGCGUGAUCGAUGAAGGCCUUAGGGUUGUAAAGCUCUUUCGCCAGGGAAGAUAAUGACGGUACCUGGAAAAGAAGCCUCGGCUAACUCUGUGCCAGCCGCCGCCGUAACAC